UACCAAACAGCUAGCCCCACUAACCAAAAACAACAAACAACUAUUAAUAACCCCGAACACACUACUACCAACCUAAACAAACCAUUUUUCCCCCCGAGUAUGGGAGACAGAAAAGGGUCUGUGGAGCAAUAGAGAAAGUACCGCAAGGGAACGCUGAAAGAGAAAUGAAACAAAUCAGUAAAGUUUAAAAAAGCAGAAAUUAACCCUCGUACCUUUUGCAUCAUGAUUUAGCCAGAAACAUUCAAGCAAAGAGCACUUUAGUUUGCCACCCCGAAACUAAGGGAGCUACUCCAAGACAGCCUAUUAAUAGGGCAAACCCGUCUCUGUGGCAAAAGAGUGGGAAGAGCUUUGAGUAGAGGUGAUAAACCUAUCGAACUUAGUUAUAGCUGGUUGCCUAAAAAAUGAAUAGGAGUUCAGCCUCUAGGUUUCUUCCCUCACCCAUGCCUUAGCUCGUACAGAACAAAAGAAGCCAAGAGAGUUAAUUAAAGGGGGUACAGCCCCUUUAAAUCAAAAUACAACUUUUUCAGGAGGGUAAAGAUUACACUUAUUCCAAGGUAAAAUGUUCUGGUGGGCCUAAAAGCAGCCAUCCAGCAGAAAGCGUUAAAGCUCAGACAUUCCCAAAAACCUUUAAUCCUAAUAAUUUUUUCUCAACCCCCAAACACUAUUAGGCCAUCUCAUGCCCCCAUGAGAGUGAUUAUGCUAAUAUGAGUAAUAAGGGAGUUAAGCCUCCCUCCUUGCACAAGUGUAAAUCGGAACGAACUAACACCGAACAUUACCGGCCCCAAACAAAGAGGGUAUUGAACCACAAACAGACAACCAGAAAAUUAUUCAACACAAUACCGUUAACCCCACACUGGUGUGCAUUCAAGGAAAGACUAAAAGAAAAAGAAGGAACUCGGCAAACACACGCCUCGCCUGUUUACCAAAAACAUCGCCUCUUGUAAUCCAAAAAUAAGAGGUCCUGCCUGCCCAGUGACUUAGUUCAACGGCCGCGGUAUUUUGACCGUGCAAAGGUAGCGCAAUCACUUGUCUUUUAAAUGAAGACCUGUAUGAAUGGCAAGACGAGGGCUUAACUGUCUCCUUUUUCAAGUCAAUGAAAUUGAUCUCCCCGUGCAGAAGCGGGGAUACUACCAUAAGACGAGAAGACCCUAUGGAGCUUUAGACACUAAAGCAGCUCUUGUCAAUACCCUAAGAAUAAUUAGACUAAACUUUGGGAACCCUGCUUCAAUGUCUUUGGUUGGGGCGACCACGGGGAAGUAAGUAACCCCCGCGCGGAAUAAGAGAACAUCUCUCGCAACCAAGAGCUUCUGCUCUAAGUAACAGAAUAUCUGACCAUAACGAUCCGGUAAGACCGAUCAACGGACCGAGUUACCCUAGGGAUAACAGCGCAAUCCUCUUUUAGAGUUCGUAUCGACAAGAGGGUUUACGACCUCGAUGUUGGAUCAGGACAUCCUAAUGGUGCAGCCGCUAUUAAGGGUUCGUUUGUUCAACGAUUAAAGUCCUACGUGAUCUGAGUUCAGACCGGAGUAAUCCAGGUCAGUUUCUAUCUAUGUAAAUGUUCUUUUCUAGUACGAAAGGACCGAAAAGAAGAGGCCCCUGCCCAAAGCACGCCCCAUCCUUAAUUAAUGAAAACAACUAAAUUAAGCAAAAGGACAUAACACCUUGUCCAAGAUAAAGACAA
rnacentral:rRNA from 1 species